GGGGGCUAAAAAAGUAUGUAGAGACAGAUGGACUACAGUCAGUAAUUGUAGAACUACAAAGUGCUUCAAUAUGAAGGUGAUUGGACAGACGAUAUAUUUUGGGAGCUGGUACUCACCACCACAGUCCGAUGAUGUUGACCGGGCACAGCAGGAUGAAGAAAAGUGCCAGCUGGUACUGAGAGCGCAUGGCAGGAUGGAUGGAUGAAGAGAGCCAGGCAGUAAAGUCCUUCACUGAGAGAAACCACCGGGCUUCUUUAGUUCCAAACUUUCUGGAGAUGAUGAAGAGAGAAGAAACAGACGGUGCGUCUUCACCAAAACUCCAACAUAAAUAAGCAUCAU